UAAGACCUGCGAAACUCUACAACGCAUCUCCUGAAUGCAACUCAGACACUUUAAUUAAGCUAAAGCCUC
rnacentral:tRNA from 1 species